UAAGAAACGAUUAAUUGCUGUUGAAAGUAAACUUUACAUACGAGACCGCCAUCUUAUCUAACCUCUUCGCCCAAGAACUUCGCCGUUUUCAACCUCAGGUAUCCAUUCAUCUGCUUUGAUGGUACUGCAAGUAUUGUCAGCCAUACGUCAUAACAAGGUUCUGGCCUCAGUUCCAGUACUUGUAGUAUUAUAUAUCAUCGCUGAUCAAAGGAGCAUCAGAAGGUGGAAGGAGUUUAAGGGAAGUUUUACAAAAGAAGAGUUUGACAAGUUACUUGAUAUCCCAUCUGAGGGAAUACAGAAUUAAGGCUUGAGAUGGCAUCCACAUUACAAUUAUUGUUUAGAAGAUCAGCUCCAUUUUUCAUUGUGGCAGCUGCUGUUGCUGGUUACAAUAUACUUGAUAAUUAUACUGCAAAGAAUAUGUCCAUCAUGAAAAACAAAAGUAGACUGUAUGGGGGAAGACCAGAAGGAAAAGAAGCAUGGUGACACAGGACACUUACUUAAAGGCAGUUCUUGUUAAUUUUCACACACAUUAGUUAACCAUGAUUUGUGCACCUAUGCCUUGAAAACAGUUACAGAUGGUUUGCUUUAUUUUAACGGUUUGGUGUUAUAGAGGAUGAAAAUAAAUACACAGUUAUGUGAAAUUUUCCUAGUUGACAAUUUUCACUGGCAAAUUAAAA